GAGGGAGGGAAGGGGUGACUAGUGACAGAGUGAGGGAGUGACUAGUGACAGAGCGAGGGAGGGGGUGACUGUCACUAGUCACCCCAUCCGUCUCUCUGUCACUAGUCACUCCCUCCCUAACUCUGUCACUGUGUCACCCGCUCCCUCACUCUGUCACUAGUCAUCCCCUCCCUCACUAGUCACCCCCUCACUCUGUCCCUAGUCACCCCCUCCCUCUGUCACUAGUCACCCCCUUCCUCACUC